rnacentral:misc_RNA from 1 species
GAUGAGGAACGUAGCGAAAUGCGAUACGUAAUGUGAAUUGCAGAAUUCAGUGAAUCAUCGAAUCUUUGAACGCAUAUUGCGCUCUCUGGUAUUCCGGAGAGCAUGCUUGUUUGAGUAUCAGUAAACACCUCAACUCCCUUUUCUUUUUUGAAAUUGGAGCUGGACUUGAGUGAUCCCAACGCUUUCUUCCAAGAAAGUGGCGGGUUGCUUGAAAUGCAGGUGCAGCUGAACUUUUCUCUGAGCUAUAAGCAUAUCUAUUUAGUCUGCCUAAAAAACAGAUUAUUACCUUUGCUGCAGCUAACAUAAAGGAGACUAGUUCUUGUGCUGACUGAUGCAGGAUUCACAGAGACAGCUUCGGCUGACUUUGUAAACUCGAUCUCAAAUCAAGUAAGACUACCCGCUGAACUUAAGCAUAUCAAUAAGCGGAGGA